rnacentral:rRNA from 1 species
ACGCUCGACACCUACGGGAGGCAGCAGUGGGGAAUAUUGCACAAUGGGGGAAACCCUGAUGCAGCGACGCCGCGUGAGCGAAGAAGUAUUUCGGUAUGUAAAGCUCUAUCAGCAGGGAAGAAACUGACGGUACCUGACUAAGAAGCACCGGCUAAAUACGUGCCAGUGGCCGCGGUAAUCUGAGCGGGCUGGCAAGGC